UACGUAGGCGGAAAAUUAAGUCAGUAGUGAAAUCCUGCAGCUUAACUGUAGAACUGUUAUUGAUACUGGUUUUCUUGAAUAUAGUUGAGGUAGGCGGAAUGUGUAAUGUAGCGGUGAAAUGCUUAGAUAUUACACAGAACACCGAUUGCGAAGGCAGCUUACUAAGCUAUGAUUGACGCUGAGGUACGAAAGCGUGGGGAGCAAACAGGAUUAGAUACCCUGGUAGUCCC
rnacentral:rRNA from 1 species